UCUCCCCGUUGUUUCCCCUCCCUCCUCUCCCUCUCUCCCCUUCCUUCUCCCUCUUCUCCCUUUCUCUAGCUCUUCCUCUUCCAAACCAGGUUUUCUUUCGCCUUUUACAAGGGAGUGCCUUGUGCUGAAAGGGUUGCUUUAGGCUUGUUCUAGCUGUUUGGAAGAGAGGAAAAAUGACUUAAAAAUGUAGGGGGCAGAGAUGAAAUGAAAACUGAAUUGGCCCUUGGUGAAAUGGGGCAGCAGGUGCAUUAAUUACCCUUGAUUGCAUGUUGGUUGAUUACCUCGGUCACUGGUGCCUUGUGAUCUGCAUUAACAUCUGCGUCCGGCACAUAUCUUCGGUAUUUCUCUAAGCAAGAUGAAUAUUGACCAGAUGGUGACUUCUCGAGGACAUAAUUCACAGAGCAUUUUUCCUGCCCCCACAUAGAUCCCUGUAAAGGAAUCCUGAAUGUCAAUGCCGAACAAAGCACAACAAGGAAAACACCCCCCCCCCCCAAAGACUGGGCAGUAAGUUGAAGAUUAAUGACCUCCUUGGCAAUGCCUGACAGAAGACCAAAUGGCAGGCAGGUCCCAGGCUCCAGCACACAGAUCUUGCCAGCUCCGUCCCCCAUCUUUUCAGAGGAAACGAAUGUUAUUUGUAGAUCCAUUUUGUGUGGCCAAGAGAAGACUGCUGGCUAGCCACCCACUGAAAUGUAACUGGCCACACAGAAAACUGGACCAUGCCUUCUCCUUAGCAGAAGAAAAGCUUAAAAGAGCAUCUCUAUGAAAAUGGAGAACUUAAGGAUCUUAAAGAAAAGCAAGAGUCACUGAAGAGGAUGGAGAAUUAAAUAACUUAUUUGUGGACUUCUGUAAGUUUUUUUUUUAAUUUAUGUGU
rnacentral:lncRNA from 1 species